AACCUCCCUUUUAUAUGAAUGUUACCCAUCCUUCUUCAACUUAACUUAGUUUAUGUUUUAACCAAGACGAUAUAAUUUUGGUAAGAUACUAGGGUUUGAGAUCUGCAAUCAAAUUAGUUUGCAUUUUCAUGUUCCGUGCUUUUAGUUUGGCAAUGUCAUGGGAAUGAUGGAAAUCGAAGCACCACAUAGAAGCACAGAGGGAGAAAAUUUUAGAGGAUGGAAACUAGCAUUGAAGUAAGAGAGUUGUUC
rnacentral:lncRNA from 1 species